rnacentral:rRNA from 1 species
UUGAAAGGCGGCUUCGGCUGUCACUUAUGGAUGGACCCGCGUCGCAUUAGCUAGUUGGUGAGGUAACGGCUCACCAAGGCAACGAUGCGUAGCCGACCUGAGAGGGUGAUCGGCCACACUGGGACUGAGACACGGCCCAGACUCCUACGGGAGGCAGCAGUAGGGAAUCUUCCGCAAUGGACGAAAGUCUGACGGAGCAACGCCGCGUGAGUGAUGAAGGCUUUCGGGUCGUAAAACUCUGUUGUUAGGGAAGAACAAGUGCUAGUUGAAUAAGCUGGCACCUUGACGGUACCUAACCAGAAAGCCACGGCUAACUACGUGCCAGCAGCCGCGGUAAUACG